rnacentral:tRNA from 1 species
AGCUCAGUGGUUAAAGCACUUGGCUGCUAACCAAAAUGUCGGUGGUUUGAACCCACC